rnacentral:rRNA from 1 species
AUGUAGGCGGAGGUUCCAGGUAAAUCCGGUACCUUAUUAACGCUGAGGUGUGAUGACGAGGCACUACGGUGCUGAAGUAACAAAUGCYCUGACUGCCAGG